AUGUCAUUUGAAUACAGACAUUAUAAAAGGGAGGCAAAGAUCUGCACCUGCCGUGGAGGUUGGGCUCAUGUGCUCCUCUGCAUUGGAGUUAGCUACGGAGCAUGUGCAGAACACUUGCCUCGUAGGCCAGCCGUACAGAAGGAUGUCCCAGGUGCAGGCGAAGUUUUGUUCAUGUGUUCCUGGAGGAAUUUUCCCGUGGCAAGCGCUUCUCCAUCCUCCAGCAUCUCAGGCC
rnacentral:lncRNA from 1 species